rnacentral:rRNA from 1 species
AUACAUGCAAGUCGAACGCUUUGUGGUUCAACUGAUUUGAAGAGCUUGCUCAGAUAUGACGAUGGACAUUGCAAAGAGUGGCGAACGGGUGAGUAACACGUGGGAAACCUACCUCUUAGCAGGGGAUAACAUUUGGAAACAGAUGCUAAUACCGUAUAACAAUAGCAACCGCAUGGUUGCUACUUAAAAGAUGGUUCUGCUAUCACUAAGAGAUGGUCCCGCGGUGCAUUAGUUAGUUGGUGAGGUAAUGGCUCACCAAGACGAUGAUGCAUAGCCGAGUUGAGAGACUGAUCGGCCACAAUGGGACUGAGACACGGCCCAUACUCCUACGGGAGGCAGCAGUAGGGAAUCUUCCACAAUGGGCGAAAGCCUGAUGGAGCAACGCCGCGUGUGUGAUGAAGGGUUUCGGCUCGUAAAACACUGUUGUAAGAGAAGAAUGACAUUGAGAGUAACUGUUCAAUGUGUGACGGUAUCUUACCAGAAAGGAACGGCUAAAUACGUGCCAGCAGCCGCGGUAAUACGUAUGUUCCAAGCGUUAUCCGGAUUUAUUGGGCGUAAAGCGAGCGCAGACGGUUAUUUAAGUCUGAAGUGAAAGCCCUCAGCUCAACUGAGGAAUUGCUUUGGAAACUGGAUGA